rnacentral:rRNA from 1 species
UACGUAGGGGGCAAGCGUUGUCCGGAAUCAUUGGGCGUAAAGAGCGUGUAGGCGGCUCGGUAAGUCCGCUGUGAAAGUCCAGGGCUCAACCCUGGAAUGCCGGUGGAAACUGUCGGGCUAGAGUCCGGAAGAGGCGAGUGGAAUUCCUGGUGGUAGCGGUGAAAUGCGCAGAUAUCAGGAGGAACACCGGUGGCGAAGGCGGGUCUCUGGGCCGAUACUGACGCUGAGGAGCGAAAGCGUGGGGAGCGAACAGG